rnacentral:rRNA from 1 species
UACGGGGGGGGCAAGCGUUGUUCGGAAUUACUGGGCGUAAAGGGCUCGUAGGCGGCCAACUAAGUCGGAUGUGAAAUCCCCAGGCUUAACCUGGGAACUGCAUCCGAUACUGGAUGGCUUGAAUCCGGGAGAGGGAUGCGGAAUUCCAGGUGUAGCGGUGAAAUGCGUAGAUAUCCGGAGGAACACCGGUGGCGAAGGCGGCAUCCUGGACCGGCAUUGACGCUGAGGAGCGAAAGCCAGGGGAGCAAACGGG